rnacentral:lncRNA from 1 species
AUUCUAGCUUUGCGUUUGGAAGGGGGAAAAAAACACGCACACAGAGACACACAGAGAAGAAAGAUAAAGAUUUCAUCUAAAAUGCAGAGGAGAUUGGCACUGCGAAGAAAGCUUCACAUUUUGAAAACUCUUACGAAUUCCAAAUCAGUAAUACUCAGUCUUAUGAGUUUAUAACACUUAUUAUUUUAACUUUAUUUGUAAAUUUUAAUAUUCUAUUUUCUAUAUUGUCUUGUUUGUGAAGGUGAAGAAGAGUUACAUUAUCAUGGAUGCCUUUCUCUACAUCUACAAGUUGAAGCUCCAAGUAGAAGCCAUCCAAAGAGAAUACCAAUACCUCAUAAAUCAUAUCCAAGUCUCUCUCUCUCUCUCUCUCUCUCUCCAUAGAGAGUUGGGAUUUCAAGAUCAAUCUUGUUAAUAGGAGCAGUUUAAGUUAUUUUGGAUAUGUUGAUUAUUGAUUUCGCCUUUGAUCAAAUUGAGAAUUAUACCUUGACCAACACUACACUAUUUGGGCAUGUAUGGCAAGCAAAUUAUAUAUUCCUAAAGGAAAUCUCAUUCAUUAUCAUUUCCGAGUAGUGUCUACUAAUAUAUAAUGUACCAAAUAUGUCCAAGUGACUGUUUGGUUUAUUGUAUUUGACAAAACACGACUCGACCUUUGUUUUAAAAAGAAAAAAAAAAAAAAUUGUUAAAAGCUCGUUCCAGUAAACAUGAUCUAAUUAAAUGUUAAGCAAGGGUACAUAUACGUCGGUGUUUUUAAUUCAAUUUUUUCAAGAUUUUGAUAUAUGUUAUGUGCAUGGAUUGAACAGGAAGUGAAGGUAGAGAAGGACGGAACAAGAUAUGUAGUGAGGGUGACAUGCAAGAAGGGACAAGAUUUGUUGGUGUCAAUUAUUGAAGCCUUUGAAGAAAUGAAUCUUAAUGUCCUUGAAGCCAGGGUCACCACCAAACACUUCUUUGGAAUGGAAGCCAUUGCUGAAGCUAAAGGCCAAGACAUUGAUUCAAGAAUCUUGACUCAAACCAUUCUCAAUGUCAUUCAAAGGCCAACUGGAAAUGGAGCUACCAAUUAAUAUUAGUACACUUUAACUGUCUUGUUUUUGUGAUAUUGGAAAUGUCACUUUCUUUUUGGAGUAAUAAUGUGAUAACAUGACUCCGCCGCCCCCCC